ACUCCUAUGGGAGGCAGCAGUGGGGAAUAUUGGACAAUGGGCGCAAGCCUGAUCCAGCCAUGCCGCGUGGGUGAAGAAGGCCUUCGGGUUGUAAAGCCCUUUUGUUGGGAAAGAAAUCCUGUCGGCUAAUACCCGGCGGGGAUGACGGUACCCAAAGAAUAAG
rnacentral:rRNA from 1 species